GAGUGACGUUUGAGGGGCGUGCCACAUGCGGCAGCUCUUGAUUGCCUAAAAAGAAAAACCCAAAGUGAACUUCAACACACAGCUGCAGCAACAGCUUUGAACAGACAGAAGCAUGUACAUGUAGUUUUGUUUGGACCACAUGAGAAGUUAUGAGACCUCCAGGAAUGACUUUCUUCAAUGGUUCAUGUCAACACAUGCUGGCGCCUGUGAUCAGAACAAAGCAGCUGGGUUUCUUUAACAGAUGGGUUCUCUGCCUGCUUGCCAUCCUUUGGACAGUUUCCACGGCUCAGAGCCCUCCGGCCCCCAAAACACCAACAGCAACUGCAGGUACAGGUAAAUGAUUCACAAAAUCAUGUCACUUUCUAAUAAUGUUGACUUCUUUUUU
rnacentral:lncRNA from 1 species